GAUGAACGCUAGCGGCAGGCCUACACAUGCAAGUCGAGGGGUAGGAGCAGCUUGCUGCUUUGAGAACGGCGCACGGGUUCGUAACGCGUAUGCAAUCUACCUUGUACAGGGGGAUAGCCCAGAGAAAUUUGGAUUAAUUCCCCAUUGUGUUUAGAAGUGGCAUCACUUUUUUACUAAAGUUUCAACGGUACAAGAUGAGCAUGCGUCCCAUUAGCUAGUUGGUACGGUAACGGCAUACCAAGGCUAUGAUGGGUAGGGGUCCUGAGAGGGAGAUCCCCCACACUGGUACUGAGACACGGACCAGACUCCUACGGGAGGCAGCAGUGAGGAAUAUUGGUCAACGGUCGCAAGACUGAACCAGCCAUGCCGCGUGCAGGAAGACGGUCCUAUGGAUUGUAAACUGCUUUUAUACAGGAAGAAACCCUCUCACGUGUGGGAGCUUGACGGUACUGUAUGAAUAAGCAUCGGCUAACUCCGUGCCAGCAGCCGCCGUAAUAC
rnacentral:rRNA from 1 species